rnacentral:rRNA from 1 species
UACGUAGGAGGCAAGCGUUGUCCGGAAUUACUGGGUGUAAAGCGCGUGUAGGUGGUGGGCCAAGUCUGUGGUGAAAUCGCCCGGCUCAACUGGGCGGGGUCCGUGGAAACUGGUCGACUGGAGGACGGUAGAGGCGAGUGGAAUUCCCGGUGUAGUGGUGAAAUGCGUAGAGAUCGGGAGGAACACCAGUGGCGAAGGCGGCUCGCUGGGCCGGUCCUGACACUGAGGAGCGAAAGCGUGGGGAGCGAACAGG